rnacentral:rRNA from 1 species
CCUACGGGAGGCAGCAGUGGGGAAUAUUGGGCAAUGGGCGCAAGCCUGACCCAGCAACGCCGCGUGAAGGAAGAAGGCUUUCGGGUUGUAAACUUCUUUUCUCAGGGACGAAGCAAGUGACGGUACCUGAGGAAUAAGCCACGGCUAACUACGUGCCAGCAGUCGCGGUAAUACGUAGGUGGCAAGCGUUAUCCGGAUUUACUGGGUGUAAAGGGCGUGUAGGCGGGACUGCAAGUCAGAUGUGAAAACCACGGGCUCAACCUGUGGCCUGCAUUUGAAACUGUAGUUCUUGAGUACUGGUGAGGCAGACGGAAUGCCUGGUGUAGCGGUGAAAUGCGUAGAUAGUAGGAGGAACACCAGUGGCGAAGGCGGUCUGCUGAACAGCAACUGACGCUGAGGCGCGAAAGCGCGGGGAGCAAACAGGAUUAGAUACCCUUGUAGUC